rnacentral:rRNA from 2 species
CAAAUCAGGUAGGACUACCCGCUGAACUUAAGC